CGUACAGUAGAGGUGAUCCAAGCAGGCAGCAUCCGAAGAAUUCAUUCAUUCCUACAGCCAAUUUGCCCUUCUCCUCCUCUACCCGCCGCUCACACACAGAAUAACUGCCAAUGGCAGAGGAAGAAACUUCCUCGCCUUGCAUCAGAGAAGAUGCUGGAAAGUUUCAAUAUGGAUGCGAGCAUUACCGCAGAAGAUGCAAAAUCCGAGCUCCUUGCUGCCAAAAAAUAUUCUCCUGCCGUCACUGUCAUAACGAAGCCACUGAGCGCGAUGAGCAAUCCUGAUGAUCGUCAUGAAAUCGUUAGGCAUGAUAUUAAACAAGUUAUAUGUUCACUUUGCAACAUCGAGCAGGAGGUUGCUCAGAUUUGCUCCAACUGUGGAGUCAAGAUGGGUGAAUACUAUUGUGAUAUAUGCAAAUUUUAUGAUGAUGAUACUACUAAAGGGCAGUUUCAUUGUGAAGGAUGUGGGAUUUGUAGAGUUGGGGGUAAAGACAACUUUUUCCAUUGUGAGAAGUGUGGUUCUUGUUAUCGAGUGGAAUUGCAGAAUAAUCAUUCUUGCAUUGAGAACUCGAUGAAGAACCACUGCCCAAUCUGUUAUGAGUAUCUUUUUGACUCUGUUAAAGGUGCAACAGUUUUGAAGUGUGGACAUACUAUGCACUUAGAUUGUUUCAAUCUGAUGGCUGAACAAAAUCAGUACCGUUGUCCAAUCUGUUCCAAGACUGUGCUGAAAGUGUCACAUUAUUGGAGAAUGCUAGAUCAGGAGAUUGAAGCUAUUCAAAUGCCUGAGGAAUACCGUUAUGAGGUUUCAAUCUUAUGCAAUGACUGCAAUGAAACUAGCAAAACUGCAUUUCAUAUUGUUGGGCUAAAGUGCAGCCACUGCAAAUCGUAUAAUACACGAAGGAUUUCAACAUCAGAUGAUCAUUGAGAGGUUUUACCUAGCCUGCAAUUUACAUGAGAUGCUUCUUACACUGCUAAACUUGUAGUAGGCAUAGUUUUUGUUUUGAUAGCUUCUCUAGCUCUAUUCGUAUGAUUACCUAAUAAAAAAAAUUCCCU
rnacentral:misc_RNA from 1 species